CUCAUUGGGCAGGGGUGCCUGACACCUGAGUUUGCUCCCCAAGACCCACAUGGUGGAAGAAGAUCAAUAUCUGCAAGUUGUCCUCUGACCUCCUGGAGCCUGCCGUGGAUGUCCCCCUAUAUCCAGGAUAGGUUGUGGAGGAAUUGACUGCUGUUCAGAAAAUUUGGUUUCAAUGUGAGAAUUCAAUUCAAUUCAAAUGUGAGAAUAAGAAAAAAGAAAAAACCCUCAAAUUUUAUAAACUCAGGUUACCGCAGGUGGCGAUGAUCCUUUGGCUUUACAUCCAUCACAUGCUUCUGUGCAUCUUCCUUUCUUUCUGAACAUGUUCAUGAAAAUCUAUUCAGUUCACAGAGAACCAACAAGAAGCAAGUCAAACCACACGGGUUAAAGCGGUCCUUCACAGCGACAGCACUGCUGCACUCAGGGUGCUGGCUGUGAGGCGUCAAAUCCCAGAGAAGAUCCUCAGUCUGGCCUUGCUGGGUACAUGCAGCCCCACAAGGGAAUCCUCAGAGGAAGCAGUAGUGGCUUUUCAACAUUUGUUUGUUUUCUUGCCUUUGAAGAGCCUACAUGAGUGUUCGGCCCUUCCUGGCCUGAGUUCGGAAUAUGAACUGUUGGUUUUCCGAGCCUUUCUGUCCUUUUCCAAACCACCAGUUUUAUGGGUUUGGCUUCAUGAAGAUGUCCUUUGUAACCAAUAACUCUUUGCACAACAUUAAAAACGUGUGCAUAAGAUGACUGCACUGUACCUUAAAGAAGUGAGAAGACUUUGUAAGAAAGAGUGGCUUUGAGAGUGGAGAUACUCAUUGCCGAGCAUACAAUAUACUCUGCUCAUAAUUGCCUCCACUCCUCUUCAUGAGUCCUCCUAGAUCCACCCCAUCCCUGUCCCUAUUCAAACAUUGUGUCCUCCUAUUUCCUGUUUGUGUACCUCACCCAGUCCAGUCUCCGCUGCCCAUACCCUCACAAGUCUGGGCUUCCCACUGGGGUAAGGUCAACCUACCAGAGAUCUCACCAUUAAAGAAGACUCCUUCCCC
rnacentral:lncRNA from 1 species